AUACAGGGUGAGAUGAAAAAACUGCCACUCUUAUUCGUGAUGGAAUUCAAGCGCGAUAUUGUGAUUUCUUUAUAUUUGGCAGGAAAACUACAAGUGGCUAUCGUUAGAGCACUCCAGCAUUUAAAUGUGAAUAAAUCUUUUGUGUCUCGUACCAUCGCUCGUUACCGUGAUACUGGUAGCGUAUCCCGACGUCAAGGAAGUGGGAGGAAGAAAACAAUAACAU